rnacentral:tRNA from 1 species
GGUUCUAUUGUGUAAUGGUUAGCACUCUGCACUUUCAAUCCAGCGAUCCGAGUUCAAAUCUUGGUAGGACCU